GACCAUCUCCCAAGGCUAAAUACUCCCUAGUGACCGAUAGUGAACCAGUACCGUGAGGGAAAGGUGAAAAGCACCCCGGAAGGGGAGUGAAACAGUUCCUGAAACCGUGUGCCUACAAGUAGUUAGAGCCCGUUAAUGGGUGAUAGCGUGCCUUUUGUAGAAUGAACCGGCGAGUUACGAUUUGUUGCAAGGUUAAGCGGAAAAAGCGGAGCCGUAGCGAAAGCGAGUCUGAAUAGGGCGCAUAAGUAACAGGUCGUAGACCCGAAACCAGGUGAUCUACCCAUGUCCAGGAUGAAGGUAAGGUAAUACUUACUGGAGGUCCGAACCCACGCACGUUGAAAAGUGCGGGGAUGAGGUGUGGGUAGCGGAGAAAUUCCAAUCGAACUUGGAGAUAGCUGGUUCUCUCCGAAAUAGCUUUAGGGCUAGCCUCGAGGUAAAGAGUCAUGGAGGUAGAGCACUGUUUGGACUAGGGGCCCUUCUCGGGUUACCGAAUUCAGAUAAACUCCGAAUGCCAUGUACUUAUACUCGGGAGUCAGACUGCGAGUGAUAAGAUCCGUAGUCGAAAGGGAAACAGCCCAGACCACCAGUUAAGGUCCCCAAAUAUAUGUUAAGUGGAAAAGGAUGUGGGGUUGCUUAGACAACCAGGAUGUUGGCUUAGAAGCAGCCACCAUUGAAAGAGUGCGUAAUAGCUCACUGGUCGAGUGACCCCGCGCCGAAAAUGUACCGGGGCUAAACAUAUUACCGAAACUGUGGAUGAACCUCUUUAGAGGUUCGUGGUAGGAGAGCGUUCUAAGGGCGGUGAAGUCAGACCGGAAGGACUGGUGGAGCGCUUAGAAGUGAGAAUGCCGGUAUGAGUAGCGAAAGAAGGGUGAGAAUCCCUUCCACCGAAUAUCUAAGGUUUCCUGAGGAAGGCUCGU
rnacentral:rRNA from 1 species